rnacentral:snRNA from 1 species
AAGUGUUACAGCUCCUUCAGAAUUUGUCUAGCAAGUUUUCUGGUUUUUACUGGAACCCUCCC